rnacentral:lncRNA from 1 species
AUGGCUUACACGCAAAUGAAUCCCAUCCAACAAGCCUGGAGGUGAUUCUCAACAAAAUACAAUCAGAGAUACAAACUAAGACAGACGGUCUUCCGGAAUGAGGGUCUUCAGGUAAUGGCACUGGUCGAUCAACAGUGAGCAUUCUGAACAAUCUGGUAAAGGAGUGAUCUUCUCUUUCAACUGUCUUCUCAGCUCCAAGACUUCUCCUCCAAGGUGGUCCUCUGAUGCCUGUCUCAAGUCUACUUCCUUCUUCAACUGAGCAUCUUUGUCUCUGAGUUGCUUCUCCAAGUCUCUGAUCUUCUUCUGAUAACUGGCUUCUGCUCUCUGCAGUCUCAAACGCUCCCUAUGUUCUGCAUCUAACAUACUCUCCAUCUCCUCAUAUGAUCUCUUCUUGCUCCGUGCUCUGCUAGCAUCCUCUCCUUGCACUUCC